rnacentral:rRNA from 1 species
UACGGGGGGGGUAAGCGUUGUUCGGAAUUACUGGGCGUAAAGGGCUCGUAGGCGGCCAACUAAGUCAUACGUGAAAUCCCUCAGCUUAACUGGGGAACUGCGUGUGAUACUGGAUGGCUUGGAUUUGGGAGAGGGAUGCGGAAUUCCAGGUGUAGCGGUGAAAUGCGCAGAUAUCAGGAGGAACACCAAUUGCGAAGGCAGCUCGCUGGAACGUUACUGACGCUGAGACGCGAAAGCGUGGGGAGCGAACAGG